CAGGAAAUAGUUUAUAAAAAUAUUAAUUUUGGAGAUUAAAGAUGGGAACUUUCUCUUUCCUGA
rnacentral:tRNA from 1 species